rnacentral:rRNA from 1 species
AACGAACGCUGGCGGCAUGCCUAACAUAUGCAAGUCGAACGGGAUCCAGGCUUCGGCCUGGUGAGAGUGGCGGACGGGUGAGUAACGCGUGGGAACCUGCCCAAUGGUCUGGGAUAACCGCGGGAAACUGCGGCUAAUACCGGAUAAGCCCGAGAGGGGAAAGAUUUAUCGCCGAUGGAGGGGCCCGCGUCAGAUUAGGU